AGAACGGGCACGCGGAGGUUGGAGAACCGAAGAAGGGGGCCGCACGGGGCGAGGAAAAGGAGGAUGUGAAACAGAGGAUACAAAGCACAGGAUGGAAGAGAGCGAGUGAGAGAACAAGUGAUGGAGGACACCCGAGUUGGCUGGGGAGAAGAUUGGCUUCGUGAGUGUGAACAACGUCAUUCAUGAAGAGUUAAGUACCUAAUUUCAGAUUGUUGUACAAACAUUGUGAUUGAGUUUAUGGAGGCAUUGUGACAUAUUGGAAGAUCCACACCUGUUUGCUGUCUCUCUCUUUUGUGAAGUUGAACCUGGAGAUAGGAAGGCACAUUUGUUUUCUCAAAUAACCCCCCUAUGCAGUCGCCUUAUCGUCGCAUUCUCCCCCCUCCGGUUGGAACACGAGCAGUGAGUGGAAUGAUUCGGGUCGAAUGGAGUGAAGGCUUAAACCCACUGUGAGGUAUUUGUAGAAUUGCAGUGCUUACAAAUUGAAGUGUUUACGUGUGAAUUGUGGAGGAAUUGCUGUAUACAUAAGUGUGAGGAAGAUUUAACCAUUCCGUUCACUCCAAUUUCCCCUGGGAUCAUCCAGCCCCGUAUGGGGUGGUGAAGUUUAUCAUCCGGCUGUGUAGAUGUGUGCAGAUGCCAAUCGACUCCCGUCCUGAGAAACAGAAAAAGCCAGUUACUCACAUCCUUUGACUACACCGACCUCGAAGACCGCUACCUCCUGAGCUCCCUGGUAGCCCCAAAGCUCCUCUAUCACAGGUACUUCAGGUCUAUUGCUGUGUCGUAGGAACAGAGAAAGCCAGUCACUUACGCCGCCUUGGAUUCAAUGACCUCGAAGACCGCUACCUCCUGAGCUCCCUGAUAGUUCCAAAGAUCCUCCACCUCAGGGAACCUUCGGAAGGCCGUUACCUACGUGUUCUGAGCCACUUACCUGAAGGACCUUUUGUCUGAGCCCCUGAGUGCCACUGCCAUCUGGAAGGAGUAGAGAGAACGCCAGCCUCUCACGCCGUAUGGGGUAUUCUCUUGGAGAUCCUCAUAACCCAUCUUGAGCUCCACCGUUACCCUAAAGG